ACAGUCACACAUUAGAUACCCGGGUAGUCCCAGCCGUAAACUAUGCGCGUUAGGUGUAUCGGUGACCACGAGUUACCGAGGUGCCGAAGGGAAACCGUGAAACGUGCCGCCUGGGAAGUACGGUCGCAAGGCUGAAACUUAAAGGAAUUGGCGGGGGAGCACCACAACAGGUGGAGCCUGCGGUUUAAUUGGACUCAACGCCGGGAAGCUCACCGGAUAGGACAGCAGAAUGAUUGCCGGGCUGAAGACCCUGCAUGACUAGCUG
rnacentral:rRNA from 1 species